rnacentral:rRNA from 1 species
CGCCUGUUUAUCAAAAACAUGUCCUUUUGUUAAUUGUUUAAGGUCUGGCCUGCUCCAUGAGUGUUAAAUAGCCGCAGUAUUUUGACUGUGCAAAGGUAGCAUAAUCAUUAGUUUUUUAAUUGAAAGCUGGAAUGAAUGGUCGGAUGAGGAAAUUACUGUCUCAUGUUAAUUUAAUUGGAAUUUUAUUUUUAAGUUAAAAAGCUUAAAUGUUAUAAAAAGACGAGAAGACCCUAUAGAGUUUAAUAAGUAAAAAAUAUAGGGAAUUAAAGAGUUAAUUUUUCUUGUAUUUUGACUUAUUUUGUUGGGGUGACAUAGAAUUGGAUAUAACUUCUUUAAAUAAGCACACUGAUUAGUGAAUAAAUGAUCCUUUUAUAAAGAUUAUAAGAUUAAAUUACCUUAGGGAUAACAGCGUAAUUUUUUCAGAGAGUUCUAAUCGAUGAAAGAGAUUGCGACCUCGAUGUUGGAUUAAAGUUAAUUUCUGGUGCAGAAGCUAGGAUAUUGAGUCUGUUCGACUUUUAAAACUUUACGUGAUCUGAGUUUAGACCGG